rnacentral:tRNA from 2 species
GGCGGUGUAGCUCAGCUGGCUAGAGCAGCGGAAUCAUAAUCCGCGGGUCGGGGGUUCAAGUCCCUCCGCCGCUACCA